CAGUUAUUUUUUGUAGAUACACCAUUUGGUUUUGGAACACAGCUCGCCAACGCCAUUUUUUUUUCGACAGAAAAUAUUAGGGACUAUAUAGACAUUAUUUGUUCAACGUCAUUUUCUGAACGAAAAUUGAGGUAGACGAGUUAUCGAGUUAGGGAAAUUUAAAUUGCCUAACUUUCCAAUAAAUUAGGACUUUUUUUUUUGACAACUCAUCAUUGGCAACCCAUCAUAAGACAGGUCACCUAAUGUGGAUAUCCAUUUGCCACAAAAAAAUUUCUACAAAAACCUCUGUUUCAAAUGGAAAUCGACAUAAGUUUCGAUUGGACCAAAUUUAUUUUAAGGAAAUGAAAAAGGAAGAAAAUUUCUAAUUCUUAUAAUUUUAGAACAAAAAUCAUUCUUCUUUUACUAUAAAUAAAAUAAAUAUGUUUUACUUUACAACCAGUUUCAAAAUUGCGGAUGUUAAAAAAAAAACAAGUUCCAGUUGGAUUUUUUCCAUCGGAAUUAAAUGCACGAUCAUGAAUCUGUCUGGAAAUUUAUUUCCAGUGAUAGGUAACUAUUCUUAAUAAAAACUCCUAAGGCAAUGUUAUGGGAAGAAAGGCUCCAUACCAAAAAACUUCCGAAAAUUUUCUCUCUUUUCAUUUUUGUCAAUAUUAUUGAAAAUGGAACAAAAUUUAAACUGAAAAUAUAUAUACAUUUUAUAUAUAUUUGGAAGAAGCUUUGUUAAGCAACAUUGAUCCGAUUGAAUGUUGGAAAAUAUGUUUAAUUGAAUGCAGAACUUGGAGAUUUGGU